rnacentral:rRNA from 1 species
GGCCGCGGGAUUGGAGGAAAGCAGGGGAUCGUAAGACCUUGCGCUUUUGGAGCGGCCGAUGUCUGAUUAGCUUGUUGGUGAGGUAAAGGCUUACCAAGGCUUCGAUCAGUAGCUGGUCUGAGGGGACGACCAGCCACACUGGGACUGAGACACGGCCCAGACUCCUACGGGAGGCAGCAGUGGGGAAUUUUGGACAAUGGGGGAAACCCUGAUCCAGCCAUGCCGCGUGAGUGAAGAAGGCCUUCGGGUUGUAAAGCUCUUUCAGCCGGAACGAAACGGUUACGAUUAAUACCUGUAACUACUGACGGUACCGGAAGAAGAAGCACCGGCUAACUACGUGCCAGUAGCCGCGGUAAUACGUAGGGUGCAAGCGUUAAUCGGAAUUACUGGGCGUAAAGCGUGCGCAGGUGGUUUUGUAAGUCAGAUGUGA